CGGGAAGACUGAUCUGCUGCAGGUGUGAUUGCUCUGUGUUGUGGGGGAGAAUUGGGAUGCCUAAGAAUAUCUGCACUGGAGUGGGAAUGACUAGGCUUAGCUAACUCAAGUUUUCAUGGUGAAGUGGAUACCUGUCCAUCUCUGACUUUAAAACAACAGUAAAUCCUUGCUUACCUCACAAAGAUGCGCUGUCUAUUUCUGUGCUUGGGCUCUGUUUCCUUGCUGCUGCUGAUAUUCAUCUUGGGGGAACACAGAAAGGGAGAAAAAUGACCCCUGAAGCAGUAGACUAUUUAGCAUUGCAUGUUCUGCAAAAGAAAAACAAGUGAGACUUAAUAACAAAUAGUUUUACAAGUUAUCUACUGCAGAAGUACAGUGUGUCAGACUUGCUUUACUCACUGAAUGAAAUGGUAGAGUACAUUGUCAGCGUUUGUAUUGUUGCAACUGUAUUUCUAGAGAAGCAUUUCUUGAGCUCUGUAGAGCUUCCCAGGAUCAUGGUAUGGUGUGCCAUCCCAAUAGAGUGGCUGUGACUGUCUUUCAAAAGAACUCUGCUUUCCAUCUUUUUAAGAAGAGUUCACUGAGAACUGUCUCUGGUUUCUUGGUAGGUAACCUGAGCUACUGCUUCACUGCACAACCCUUUGGAUUGAAUUGUGUGAAGCGGCUGAGUGCCUGUGAAUGGUUUCUGAUGCUGCGAAUGUGUGCUGAAAGAAGCUACAAAAAAAGAAAUGAUUUCUUUGUAAAAUCUGAAGAAAUAAAUGAAUUUAGUACCACAGGAAACAAGCCCACCAAAG
ensembl:lncRNA